rnacentral:ncRNA from 1 species
ACAACUUCUUCAAUAAGUUGAUGGGACGGGCGUCUAAUCUGGUAACGGAUUAGAUGAUAACUGGGUGAAUUGCUGGAACUUCCUAAAGUGCUUUGUACCACAACGUAGCUGGAAACGGCAGACGUGAAGGUUUGAAAAACAAAGCAAUCAUACAAUGGAUAAUCAGCAUCCAAGCGCCUGUGGCGAAAGCCUGGCGAAGGUUCAACGACUAGAAUGUACUACCUAACGAGAAAUCUAUGGCAAUGAGAUUCGUAGGAUAAUGAAUAAUUAUUCGAAGCGCCCAGCCCCUUUGGAUGUACAAAGGGUGAAGAUAUAGUCUGUUCUAUGUUCGAAAGACAUAG